UGCAUUCACUACUGUAAGUCGCUCUGUAUAAGAGGGUCUGCUAAAUGACUUAAA
rfam:Salmo salar isolate Sally breed double haploid chromosome ssa19, whole genome shotgun sequence.